rnacentral:tRNA from 1 species
GCCUGGGUGGCUCAGUGGGUUGGGCAUCCGACUUCCGCUCAGGUCAUGAUCUCACCGUCCGUGGGUUCGAGCCCCGCAUUGGGCU